rnacentral:misc_RNA from 1 species
GACAAUAGAAGUUUGACAUCCAACCUUUGCUGUGUUGAACGCUACAUUUUUGCAGUCUGGCAAAAUGCUAACAGACCAUGCUGGCAAGUGGUAUGAUACAUGUCGGAACUGUACCACCUUGUCAUUUUUGUCAUCCAUAUUCGCGAGAAAGGCAGCACAAGCGCCUGAAGCAUCUUCAUAAACAUCAGCCUCUUGUAGAGGACCUAAUGAAAGAAGAGUUGGAUCAUUGUUCAGCAGAGCAUGCUCACACGAUUUUAUGACUUUAUGAAGUUCUUUAAGGUGACCCCAUUUUGGAAACCUUGGUAAACCAUAUUCGUCAAUUGGGGCAUCAUAGUCAUAACUUGUGGUAAUGAAAGGGCCACCUGCUGUCCUGCCAAAGUUCGUCCCACCAUGGUACAUGUAAUAAUUCUGCACGCUUCCUCCUUUUUG